rnacentral:rRNA from 1 species
UUGGAGGGCAAGUCUGGUGCCAGCAGCCGCGGUGAUUCCAGCUCCAAUAGCGUAUAUUAAAGUUGUUGCAGUUAAAAAGCUCGUAGUUGAAUUUCGGGGUCAGUAGGUUGGUCAUGCCACUGGUAUGUACUGGUCUCACUGAUUCCUCCUUCCUGAUGAGACGUAAUGCCAUUAAUUUGGUGUUGCGAGGAAUCUGGACUGUUACUUUGAAAAAAUUAGAGUGUUUAAAGCAGGCUAACGCUUGAAUACAUUAGCAUGGAAUAAUGAAAUAGGACGUUCGAUCUUAUUUUGUUGGUUUCUAGGAUUGACGUAAUGAUUAAUAGGGAUAGUUGGGGGCAUUAGUAUUCAAUUGUCGGAGGUGAAAUUCUUGGAUUUAUUGAAGACUAACUACUGCGAAAGCAUUUGCCAAGGAUGUUUUCAUUAAUCAAGAACGAAAGUUAGGGGAUCGAAGACGAUCAGAUACCGUCGUAGUCUUAACCAUAAACUAUGCCGACUAGGGAUCGGAUGAUGUUAAUUUUUUAAUGACUCAUUCGGCGCCUUACGGGAAACCAAAGUGUUUGGGUUC